rnacentral:lncRNA from 1 species
UCAGAUUGCUCGAUUGUGUCAACAAUCACUCCGAUCGUACACCAUGUCUGGAUGCUCAUCUUCCACCUGUUGUUGCGGUUCUAGCUGCCAGUGCGACCCUUCAAGUUGCAAGUGCAGGUCCUUGGCUGAGCCCACCUUCGGUGGCCUUCGCAAGUGUGUCUCUGCUCUCUUCUGCCCUUCGUGUUCCAGAUGAAAUUGUGUGAACUCUCUCGCGGAAUUCUGCAAUUCGAUAUGUUAGAUUGUUCUCAGGGGUUUUCCUUUUGCUUGAAGUCUCAGAUGGGUAGAAUUGUGGAAAAGGGUUGGUCAUCGGGACAUGGUUCUAACGUGUUGCGAUCCUUGACUGUGUGUGUGAAUUGUCCAGCUACAACGCAGAGAACGACUGCAAAUGUGGACCCGGCUGCAGCUGCGCCGACUGCGACUGCCACAAAUGAAGACCUCCGUCGUCUCUCACGACGGUUUGGAUCGGGAGGGGCUUAACCUUGGCGUGAGCUUCCUCAUCAGUUGUGUGUAAGAUUCGUCAGGAAAGACAAAAAAAAAGUAUCGAAGCUUCCAAGCUAUGGCUACCGCUCUAUUAGGAGUAAAUCGCCACUCUUUUCGGGGCAGAGAAACCAUAGCAAUUAUCAAUAAUAAUCAUCAUCAUUGUGAGUAGUUGCAUCCGAGCGGCAGCUGCCUGUGCUUGUUUUUCGAUUUGCAAUUGCUCAGUAAAGUUUGCUCUCAAUUAAAUUCUGAACUUUGCUGCCUCCGAUCCAUCCCCUGACUGAUGUGAAACUGGUCCAACGUUCAUCAUGUGGUUCAUCUGUCUCAUACUUUUGUGAAUCCCCGAUCGUAUUAGUCUGCUUCCAGCCGGCGAAUUCUGCAUCACAUCGAUCUGCUGUCCGCUCAGUCACGAUUUGCUUUCCUGCGCUCAGAACGCUACUGCUAGUCUACAGUGAACACGUGAUAGUGUGCUCCGGAAGCAAACGAUCCGGAUUGUGUGAAAAUUCAACUCACAUCCAUCUCCGUCGUGUAUCCGGGAGUCAUUCUAGCACAAAAUAUUCUGCUUUCAAUGUAGCGUUUAGGUUUCUGUGUCGUUUGAUUCUUGCUGUACUACAUAUCAAAAGUAAGAGUGAGUUCUUUUUAUAAUAUUUAAGAAGCUGAUUAUUUUUUGUACUGUUAAGAUCCCAAUGGUGUAAUGAAUAUGACGAUUUUGAUAGAAAAACUUAGGUUGAAGCAUUUUUGUAAAGUUUGAAGGCAAUUAAAUAGGAUAGUAAAGAGAUACAAUUGGUGGUCGAUUAACAUCAAGGUUGAAGAAAGAGGAUACCCAACAUCCAAACAAAUCAAGACCUUUUUCUUCUAAUUAGUAAGUUUGAUUUUAUUUAAAACUUUUCGUGCAUAUUGCUAACUAGUAUAUUGUAAUGUAUACAAAUUUAAAAUCAAUAAUUUUAUUGAUAACUGUAAAGGUUUUAAAAUUAUAAAAAGGUUGGAUUAGAAUUGGUUAGGACUCAAUUGGGAUUUAAUUAAGAAUUGGUUAGAUUAUUUUUAGAGCUUUAUCGGAUUUUCUAGGAUUUUAAUUGAAUUUUAUUAAGUUUUUUUAGGAUUUAGUUAGGAUUUUAUUAGAAUUUAUUAAGGAUUUAUUAGGUUAUUUUUAGUAUUUUAAAAUUUUUAUUUUAAAUUUUCUUUUAUUAAUAUUUCUUCAUGAUUUAUUUAUAAUUUUUUUUAGAUUUUUUAAUAAUUUAUUUAUAAAUUAUAUAGGAUUUUUUUAAAAAAUAUUAAUGUUCUUUAUAAAUUAUUUUAAUUAUUUUAAAAAAACCUUUAAGAUUUUUUAGGAUUAAAUUAAGGUUUGACGAUAAUUAUUAAGAUUCAAUUAAGAUUUUCUUAUAAUUUUAUUAGGAUUGUUAGAUUCUUUGUUUGUUGCAGAAUACAAGUUAUCUCCUAUAGCCAAGUACUUCGAAUACUCUCAAAUAAGAUAGCACAUAGUUUGAUAAUGUAGCAACCAAAUAAGGUCAUGCUUUUGAGUAGAUGAUGCUCCAAGACUUUGCCUCCAUGAUUGUGUUGUCAAUGCCUUGUUGAUCCUACUUUGAAAUUACUAAGAUUUUUAUGCCUUUUGUGGAUAUGUUUAAGAAUGAGUUGAUUAAUAAUAGAUGUAAGAUUGGUUGAAAUCUUUAUAAGAUGAGACAAUCUUGGCAAUUUAAAAAAUCUAUGAAACUUCUUAGAAUUAAUAAUUUUAUAUAUGCUGAGGCAACAUCUAAUGAUCUAAGCAAACUUCUAGGUAUCUUUUUGGAUUAUUUCUUCAUACUAACAAUAUAGACUAGUUCUUUAUUGAAAGAAUAAAAUGCAAAUUUGACAAUUGGUGUUCUAAUAGAUUUAAUUUGGUUGGUCAAGUUGUUAUUUUUAAUAAUAUUUUAUUAUCAUUCUUAUAUAUCUUCCUACUCUUAUAGAUAGAAUUUCUAUAAGCAAUUUAAAAUAUUAAAAUAAUAGUAAAAAAAUCUUCUUAUAUAUUAGUAUAAUAUUUCUAAUUUGAUCCAAAGUUUUUUAGUAUCUAUAUUAUUAAUCCAUAAAAAAAUAGAGAGAUUGGACUUAUCAAAUCAAAAGAUUUUAUUGAAGUAUUGCUUGUCUAAUGGGCUAUAAAAGCCUUAUAAUUAGAUUACAAAUAUAUCCAAAAACUUUUGAAAUAUAGAUUAAUGCAUACUAAAUUGAAUACUGUAAAUAAGUGAUGGCUAAAUUGUGCUUAGGCACAUUUACAUAAAACAUAAAGGAAAUACACAACGUAAAAAUUAGAAGAAAAUUUUUUACAUAUAUGGUCUUCUAAAAUCUUUUAUGAUAUUUGGGACAAACUUCUUUGGUUGGAUCAAAAAAAAAAAAUGUUAAUAGAUAUGGGAUCUUUAAAAAAGCAAUUAUGUUCUUUUUACAUGGUUUUUAAAGAAUAAGACAUGUAUUUUACAAUAGUCAAAUCAUAAUUAUAAUUCUUAUUUUCAGUUAUUCACCAAAUAGUCAAUUAUUGAAGAAAAAUUUGGAUUCAAAUUAUUUAAAUUAACAAAAAUAAAACUAGAUUUUAUAAGUAUUUAGUAAAAGUUUUUAUUUUAUGAUAAAAUUCUAUCUUUCAAAUAAGAAAAUGUCUACAUUAACAACGUAAAAAAUCAAGUAGAAGGUUAUUUAAAAGUCAAAGAAGAACUCUUAAGACAAAAGAAAAAAACUUAAACAAUCAAAACAUCAAUUUCUUUUGCUAAAUUAGAGAAUUGAAUUUUGAUCCAAAUACCUUCUCUCUUAGUAUAGUAGAGAUGAAUUACCAACAUAAAAUGCAAAAAUAGAUAGGAUGUUAUUACAAAAAAUCUGUUUUUUAUACCAAAUAAAACUCCACAUUAGAAAUGAUCUUUUAAUUCAAUUAGCAAGACUUUUGACUUAAAUCACAUGCACAAAAGAAAGCAAUAAUAAGCUAAGCUAAUCCUCACAUAAACACUCAUUGCUUCUUAUAUAAUCUUCAUACAUCAAAAACUAUUUUAUAUAGAUUUUUGGAACCUAAACAAGUUUUAAAAAAAUUGAAACUAGGCUAUAAUCAAUUAUUCAUUAAUUGACUCCCAAUUCUAAGAAAUAAGAAUUUAAAAAAGAUUUUUUUAUUGGAAACAAGCUAUUGUGCCGCCUAGAUUUAAAAUACUGAACCCAGUGUGAUCACUAAUAUGAUGUUCGAUAUAAGUUUAUUGUUAUUUUGUACUCACUUACUAUAAUCAAAGCAUUGGGUAUAACAAUGUGAAGCACGAACACUCUCUCAUGAAUGAAAUGAGUGAUGUAAUCGGAACUUCAAAUUUCACAUUGAACAUGUAAAGAAAACGAGGCGAAACUGUCGGUAAUGUGUCCGUGUGGAAGUCAACGGCAUCCACAUUAACAUACUUCGACGCCGACCUGACAAUAGAAUACCUUCCAUUUCAUUGAAGAAAAAAUUGCUAACAUUCGAUCAGCUUGAAACCAACGCCUUUGCACAUCUUAUGGCACUGUCUGUGUGAGAUCGGAUCGAUCGCGGUGUGGAUUCAUGAACCAUUCAGAAUUUUCACUCUUAUCAUCGAAUCAACGAUGUUUCAGCAUCGCAGCAAUCACCGCCAGAUAUCUGCGAUGAUGCAGACAUGGAAACGGUUCCGAUCCGUAGGAGUUGAAGAUGAAUUCCCAAAACAAGCUCUUCAUGAGAAGAAUGAAAUUUAGACUUUGAAACUUGUGCUGAUUUAGAAUGCUUCAAUGAGCUUUCAAGCGUUUAUGUUUCUCCAUUGGCAAGAGCACGAAGAUGGAGGACUAGAAUUACCUUGAGAUGGGUCAAGUGGUGGAUCUUCGUCACUUGGGGUGCGUCAUUUUGACGAGGUCUCUCAUUAUCUUCAUGGACUUUGCAUGGUGUUCCUCUGAAGCAGAUCUGGGGUAAGCUUCUCGGCACAGCGAUCAACUCAUCAAUAGCCUUCGUUGCUUAAGUCCGUUUUAGCCUUGGUGGAUCGUCUUGCUUCGGCUGCAACAAUUCUUCAAUUGAUUUGGGUCGUGGGGUUCUCGAGUCCGGGCUCGGUGUCCUGCGGAUGAUGGACCAUGGCCCCACGUAAGUUAUUUCGCUUUGGUUUCCGAAUUGGGUUUGAUUUGUGUGCUUUCAUAAGAAACUUGUGUGUUUUCUAAUGCUUUCUGUUGAAGGAUGAUUCGGACGUUUCGGUCGUUAGAGUUCAUGAAUGUCAGCAGAUGGGGAUUGUAAAUAUACAUUGUUUAAUAAUAAUCUGGGGGAAUAGAGGGAUGAAUAAAGUGCUACUCAGCACCAUAAUGUAGGAUGCAGAUGCUGAGGUUCUGGCGUGUAUCUUGCUCUCUAUAGAUUCUAUUUAGCUUUCAUCACACAGAGGAAGCCAAUCUUUACAUAGAUUCUGACUUGAAGUGGUACUUCCCGUUGCCUCGAACUAGGUCUUCGAAGUUUUGGUUUGAUACAGUAUUAUUCUUUGAGCCCGUCCUUAACGAUGGGGACUUCAAGGAUCACUAAAUUGCUGAAAGCAUUUUAGUUUGUAGCAUGCCUGAAGUUUUAAUCUACUGAAAGUCGAGCACGGUGAUGGAUUGGAAUCAGCUAGCAUUGACGUCCACGUCCAGUAGUAGAGGAUAUUAUGCUUGUAAAGCCGUAUCUCCAAUCUCCUUGCGCAGGAAAGUAGUAUACUAGAUUCUGCUAGCGUCGAGGAAAAUGGAACCGACAGCAGUCGAAAUUCUAAUGUGUUACAGCUAUUGCAAGCAAAGGAGCGUAGCAGUGGUACGAACAAAGCCUCGUCCAGCGAUCGAAGUUUUCGACGAUGAUUAUUGAAAGAACAAGCUGCUCAUCCUUCAAUGGAUGCACCGAGGAACUGAGAAUAGAGGGAGAUGGUUUCCACCCCAGAUUCAUAGCAUAAAGCUCCACCUCCUCAUUUCCUUUCAGAUUCCUCAACUUGUGUGAUGAUUGUGUCACAGGUUUAGGAUAGAUAGUUGCGCUCACGGUGCGAAUCAGUUGCGUGUGACCUGUCAAACGCUGCCGGGUGGAAAGUAAAUUGAUUUUGUAGUACUCGGAGGUAGCAACGGCUGUUUUGAGAAUGAAUUUUAUCUGGAAAAUCCUUUGUUCAUUAAGAGCACAAUGGACAUGCAAGAUUAGGAUCUACCAGUGAAACUAGGAUCAUUUCAGCGUGCUUAUUGUGUCUUAAGUUUCAUCUAAUUUUGUGUUCCAUGAUAUCUGGCAAUUUCUACUUGCAAAGUUCGAGGAGAUUCCUCGAGUCUUGGUUUUUAGAUCAUGUGAAAUUCCACUUUAGAAUGGAUCAUAGGCGCCCCCAGCAGACAUCGUAUACAUCUUAGACGAUUUGUUCCUGCAGAAUCCAAAGUCCAAGAUGCCUUUGAGAGGGAGUCGCUACAGCCAUUGUUUAUGAAAAAUUUCCCGGUUUCCAUGUCGCGUUACAGCAUGGCAUCAUUCGAAAACAGCGCCCAUCCUCACCGAAAUGGUUUGUGGACCCUUUCGCUGCAGUGUUCUAUGAGAUAGGUCCUCUGAGCCCAUGUCACUUGGCUAUGCCAAAGCAGCAGUGAUGUUUUCCAACAACAUUCGAUAAUGAGGCGCCAUCAUUUUGAUUAGAUUUCGUCUUUAGUGUUCUUUGCCUGUGAAAUCUAUAUUCAGUAGUACAAAAUGUGCAAUUUGUCAGAUUGUCAAGGUAUUAAUUAUUCAACUUGAAUUUAUGAUUUCAAUCUUUUCCGGGUGGUGACCUUUCCUGUGGUUUCCUAAGUCAUGUAAUAUCAAAAAUUGAUCCAAUACAGUGUGCACCUUUUUUCAAUUCAAUCUUAGCCAUCACUAUUAUGUAUGUAAAUAUAUACUGACACAUACUGUGGUUUUAACUUUGCUUAGAAUUUAAGAUACUUUUAAGGGUAACGUCAUAUUCUGAAGGCAAACUGCAGCCUAAACGCAUCAAUGACAGUUUGGGUGCAGAGUAAACAGAACAACCAACACACGGUAAACCAUUACUUUUGCAGGUUCGCGAACAUUAUGCGAAUGCGUUCAGCAAUCUGCUGGUGAACCAUGUGCUGUAAACCAUUAAGUAACGUCAGAAGUCGUUUACCAAGAACUCCACGUUUCAUGGUGCCAGGUGAUAUUGAAAGAAAGGUACUGUGGAGGAUGGGCUGGUUUUUAGUGACAUAUCCCAAGUAGUUUCGGUUUUAUACUUAGUGCACCUGAAGCUGUAUGUGGUAGUUUGAUGUGUGUAUAUAGGUGGGAGUACAGAAUCAUGUGGAGUCUAUCGUGGAGUCUCGAUUCAUGACGUUGGUUACGCACAAAUAUGGUAAAACAAUUUCAUAAUACGGUGUUGGAGCUGGCAUAGUUUAUCUAGAUUCUGAGAUUUUCCAGUGAAAACCGACGUUUUUAAUCUGCAUCAUAGUGAGUACAAGGAUAGGAAUAAAUACCAUAGUUUAAAAUGCAGAAUUAGUGCCUGAGUCAAAGUUAACUCGUUUGUUGUUUUUGUCCAAGACAGCUUGUGGAAGUUGACUGCAGGAUCACCCCAGUUUAAACAGUAGUGGUAGCAGCAUCAGGGACUGAAGGACACACUCUAAGAUCGAUUGUGGUAUUGACACAGUUGUAUCCAGUCGACAACGUUGUGGUGAGCACUUGUUAUCUCACCUAAACCGAAUUCCUAUUCUGAUGUUACUUCAAAAUUAGUGUGGAUUUCCAACGCCCUUCAAGUCAUCUAGCCGAGUUUCAUCAAGCUGAUGGUUCUCUCCACUUAUUGUAACCUCCUACACGUUGCGCAUCUACCCAACAACUUCAAUGUGUAUUCGACAUCUACAACCACUUUCGAUUCCCCUUCAUCCAAAGACCAUCAACACACAGCGGAUCGCUGUCUGUGUGAACUGUAAGUCCACAACCUGGAAGGCGCAAACCACGUUGAGGCGGCUGCCACAUGAUACACCUCAGAACAGUCAUAUUUUUCGAAGGAUUCUAUCUCCAUAUGACUUAAGGUUGCGAAUUGAGGACAGCAUUGAGCGGCUGGUCGCUAUCAACAAAUGCCACUUCGCACAGGAAGAUGAAAUCAUGCGUCAACCACAGUACGAUGAUCUCCUCCACUUGUGUGAUCCACUUGUGACCAAAACUUUGAAGUUUUCCGCAAUAGUUGUGAACUGUUUACUCUUUUGGAACUGAGUAGACUGGAAUGUGGACACUACCUUCACCUUACCCGACACGACGACCUGGACAAGAGUGGAUGAGCUUUACCUUGGAGUUUCCAUCACUAGUGAGAAACCAACGCUAUCAACUAGAUGAUAUUUUGACUUCGGUACCUGCAUAUUGGUGGGGGGGGGGGGGGUGAAAUAACACCGAGCACCCUUUUGCCUGGCACGCAAGAACUGUAGUACGAACUUCAGAUCGGAUGGCGACUCGAGGAGGAAUCACUUCCAAUGAAACAUGGAACUCCACCCUGCAAUGGCAGUUUGGAGUCCCAGCAUUAGACCCUGGUGGCGUUUUCGGACUAGGAAUAGGACUGCUGGUGUUGGUGGCUCGUGUGUUUUGCAUGGUCAGCUAACGAUGGCUGCUUGUAAUGCUUGUCCUUCGCAAUUGAAGUAUUUGCUGUGGAACAUUCUCCCCAAAUAUACACGUUGGGAGCACCGAAAGUAAUGCAUGAGAACUUGAUUGUUUUGCAGAAAAAUAAGACUUUGUGCCAAAGGUCAUGGCUGAUGUGACUACAAUCAGGCAUCGAAACCCAAUGGGGUUUUCGUAGUUGAUAUGAAUUUGGUAGAUCUAAUAGCAGUAGAUUCGUUCUAGGUCGAAGUACCUGAAAAACAAACAGUUGAUUAUUGAACCUUAAUAAUAAUGAUAGUAAUACAAAAAGAAAAAAGAAAAAAGAAAAACAUUUAAGUGACGUUUAGCUUCGAGGUAGGUCUUGAACUACUUGGUUCUAACUUUCAAACAGUAAAGAGAAGCGGAAUCGUGCUUUAAACUCCUUUAGUCGCUCAACUAAUAUCCAUUGUACAGUUUUACGAGGUAUUUAUUCUUCUCCUUGUGCUUGUCUGUUCACGGCUGAGAAAAGUACGCUUUUAGUUUUUUAUUACUGACGUAUACAACCAUCACCAUGAAUUCUCAAGUACAAGAAAAACUAUUUUUUAAAACUGUCAUUACGCUUGUUGUAGCUUGCACCCACUGUCGAGCUUGCACUCAGACAACGGAGAUAGAAAAAUAUGUUGAUUGUCACGAUCUGCACUAAUAAUGUGCCCAGCUUGCGGAAAAGCGCUCACAUUGGUUUCGCAAGCCCCCGCAAUAUUGGCUCACUUCAUUGUUGACUUGGGGAACGGGAAAAGCAGCCACACAGCCUCACGAAACAAGCUCCUGAUAGUAGUCGCCGUUGCUGCGGGGCUUUCAUGGGCACCAACCUGCUGAUCUGGCCAAAGCAGCACAUGGAAAAUUUCUCCGUGCGCCGCGGCUUGUGGAAACACGAUGCGUCGGCAUAGAUCAGAAGAAUGGUUGAAUCUACUUUCAGAGAAAUCAGUGCUGUCGAAGUAACACAGGAGGAACGGUAAAAUGCUGUGAAUUAUGAAUCCAAAUGCCUUUUUUUAAUGGAAGAUGUGCAUUGCUCUUGUAGGAAACACAAUUUUUGCCAGGUUAUUAACCAUAGUUAAAUUCAUUGAUGCUUGGUUGUUGUGGAUAGAUAUUUUACCUGUGAUUCACUUCUCCUUCUUCUUCUUCUCCAGGCACGAGUGUGUUGUUUUGAAAUUAAUGAAUGAAGAUGUUCCUGUAUCAUUCGACAGUUUCGUGAUCAUUCGAAUCAUCUCUUCACAUAUAUUUUUCGCCAAUGCACAGCAAGGUUCAGAACAAUGAACAAACUGCUGACUAAUUUCGGUACCGCCACCACUACGUUACAAAAUUUUCCACCUACUCAUCUACAAUCACAACCACCGAAUACUAACUAAAACCAUUAUGAGAUAUUCAUCAUUGAAUAAUGAGAGUUUCUCUUGGGAGUAAGUGAAAAUGUGAAGAGCCGACGAUGAAUGUCGAUACACAGAGAGGAGUUCCGAAUUAAUGCGGGACCGGAAGGUGGUGUCGGGUAAGAGCGAUAAAGCACAGCUCCCAUUUUCAGGCCCCAUGAAAACCCUGCAAGAAAUGGCAUUGGGUGACGACACAAGUGGAGCCUGUGCGUGGACAAUCAAAACAGAGCUCAAUCAGUCUUCAGAACAUAGGGCUGCGGCGAAAAUGUGGGUCCGGAGCCAAGCUAAAGCUCCCACAUGGAUGCACUUUGUGACGCAUCACGGAAUCCUCCGAAACGCCAUCCAACCGGCCUCCAUCAAAGUUAGUUACGAUUGGUGAUUACUUCACAGCAGGGAAACACGGCAUUCAGAGUUGAACGAUGGGUUUCAAUAGCGGACCUGUCGCGAGCGUUGCGAUGGAAGUUGCAGACCUCGCAUUAGGUGGUGUGAGAGCUAAAAGCAACUAAGAAGUAGUUGCAUCGAAGGUUUCUGACACGCCUCCAUAAAGUGUCAUCUACCUGCAGAUACAGGCAUGGAGCUAACAACAGUCCUUGCCUCUAGGUGAAGAAAGAGACCGGGAAAGCGCCUUGGAAACCGAAACGGUGGUAAGAGCGAUGCCGAUAACAGGGAGCUCAGAGUGUGGCAAUAAAGUGAUUGAGUUUGCAGGCGCGUGCCAGCCGCAGCCUGCCGCUGACAGAAGGUCUGUGUAACCACUGCGGGAUGUUUAAUGAACACUAUCAUUCAAACUGGGAACUUCAGUUUCGGGAGGGAGGGGGUACUGCAAGUCCACAUGGUUGCGUUAAGGCACGGCAGGGAUACUACACGCUGUUGCUGAGCAGAAAUCGAGGACCAGAUUGGAAGCUUUUUGAAAGGUCUUAACUUGCCAACGCUUCUCGCGAAACACGACCUUUCAAAAUGAAAAGAGUAGGAAAAAAAAUCUCAAAAGAAUUCCGUCGCGAGCUGAUGUAAACUACUUUGAAUUGUCAUUCAAGAAACCCAAUCUCAAUUAACUCAAAGUGGGGGUCAGUGAAUGCAACGCCGGCGGGCUCCAAUUCAUCACGCUUUCAGUGAAAGACACAGACAUAGCUUUCGGUGAAUGAAGAUGGUCAAUAUCCUCUGAUGAAUUGUUAAAUGUAUUACAUCAUACAAACCACAAGUCCUUGCGUUCAAUGCAACCCAGCAGCGGAACUAGCUAGAGCCCUACAGUAUGGGUAUAGUCGGCAAUAAGGUUAAUCCAGUGAUGAGCCGAAGUUACAAGUAAUCUCUAAAAAGCAGUCAGUGUUCUGAUACCGCCGCGGGUAGAGCAACCUCCAUCUAUAUUGAUCUAUUCGUAUAGUUAGCAAUACGCUCCAAUUGCUAGAAAGGAGUUGUCUGAUUCAACUUCCGAAUUGUAAAACGAUGCCUAUACUCGUAAAAUUGGACCAAUGGUUUUCUAGCCCUUGUCAAUCAAUCGAUCAAUCGCAUAAACUCAACUCAAUUCAGGUCGGGUCAGAUGCAUGCAAUGCAAGCCAGCAGAAAUGGGUGAUAGCGGGGGACCGGAUCUUUCUCUCCAAACUCGUCACAAUUCGAGGAAAACAAAUUGGUCUUCUGCAGCCUUGAGUCCCUCCAACUGCCGCUGCGACUCGCCCCCUGGAGCAUUCCAAACGAACCCUAAAAUCGCUACAAGCCGAACAUUCUGCCAGCUCGCUGCCGCAGAGUGUGAUCCGGCACAAUCCCAUCGUUCCCGGCCAAUACAGUAUACUUGUCCUUGCGCGUGAGAUUGGUGCACUGAAAUCCAAGAGAGUUCGCUAACACGCGCUGAAUGUAGUUCGCCACCUCGUGGCUGGUCUUUCCGCCAUUGCAUGUCAGCUGAUGCGGGAGUUGGUCCAGAAAUGUUACCUCAUACUUAGGGCAAGGGUUCAUGAAGAAGAAGAAGGGGUCCAUGCCUUUCCAGCCUCGAGCGCUCGUCCCAUGAAACAUGGUAAUUUUGAUAUUCAUCGUCACGGGGACAAUUUGAUCCGUCAGCUCAGCGAACAAGGAACUGAACCGCAACAGAUAAGGCUCCCGGCAAGUGGUGCCCUCGGGGCACACCACAAGGUCACCUUCCUCCAAUAGACUUGCCAUGGUGUUGGCGUCCGUGUUCCUGUCCCUCGUGAGGCGCACAGUGCGGAUUGGGGACAGCACUUCGGAGAGCCGACUGAUGCUGUAUGUUACUGCAGUGACUUUCCUUCGAACGGCAAUGGACAAGAAAAUAGGGUCAAGAAGAGUGCGAUGAGAGCACACGAAGAGCACACCCCGCUUCUUGUUUCGGAGGGGGCACGUCGGGGGAAUUCCUUUCACACGGACGGUGACGCCGAGCAUUGCCUCAAGAGGAAGCGCCCACCACAUUGGCAACGCAAUGCCGAUGAGCAUCCGAACAACGGCAAGGACAAAGCCAAUAGGACACCAUAGCAUGACGAUAAGCGACAUCAGCGGCGUAGGACGGCACACCAGUCUACCGUCGUGGAAGAUAAGAGGUUUUAAGAAGUCUUCCUUCGACACGGCGGGCACAUCCUUGUCGCUGUGUACAAUGUAAGAUUCCUUGCAGAGAUCCAUGAAUAAGAAGUCGCUCUGCCUGUCUCCUAGGCCGACGUCCGGAGGGUCGGGUCCAAAGUAUUUCUUCACAGCUCGCUCUUUGACAGCACCAACGAGUACACCGGGGCCCGUUACAAAACCGGUGACAUAUCCCCCGCUCGAGAUUUGUAGUUCAGUGCCCAUUACAGCUUCUACGUCAAGAUACUCUUUCAGAAACGGCUCCACUAUGAUCCUUGGAUUCGCCGUCACGACGUAGCGCUUCCCGCAGGAGGUGAAGACUCGGUAGCUGAUGGAGUGCAUGUCUUCCAAGUAGAAUUUGGGCAGAACACCCCGCGCCACUGACUCGACGGCGGACACUUUGAGUCCCGCCAGCGAGACGAAAAUGAGCAUCUUAAUCCCAGCUGCCUCGGAGACGAAGUUGUAGACAAGCCAUACUACGGGAGAAAUAAGCAGAAGAACGACAGACCGGAGUGGGCUCCCUGCUUCGAAAGCGAGCAACAUAAAGUAGGGAAAAGAGCUUCUUGACCGCAGAAGCGUUCCGUCCAAAUCUGAAACAAUGCUCUGGUUCGCACGCCCUUCCACUCUGCAGGUCUCCACUCCUUCGAAGCUUUCACUGCAGUGAAAACUAGUCAAUGGGUCGAGUUGCUGCAUUUCCAUGGUGGCAGCUGGCUUCCAGAACCUAGAGGCCCAGGUCUGGAAUUGCUCUGCCACAAAUCGAACUGCUGAAAAGUCCUCCAGCUUGUUCGACAGUCGUGGCACCAACUGAUAUCACCUUCAAACUGCCUUGCAUGCGAACCUCUACUUUCGCCACUUCCCGCAGCUCAAGUCAAAAUAGACUCUAAGUCGUACAAAAUCACCCUCCACUUGUUGGUGAGGACACCCACUCGCUGACGCACCUCCAAGCAGCAAUCGCCUGCGAGCAGCUUCUACAAUAAUGCAGUGGACGUAGCUAGAAUGACCAAUGUUUCCCGGUCUAGAAACUUAAUAUCACGCCCAACACAAAGUGAAUCCUUUCUUGACGACGGAGCUGCCAAUUGCGAAACCUGAACUAUCGGAUUGGAUGGAUACGGGUGUCGACGAUCCCCAAUCGAAGAUGCCUGGCGCUAAUCAAUCAUGCUGCUGCAGCCGCACAAAAGCCAGCUGGAUCACCACGACACCGGCAUGUGAAACGUUCUUCAAAACUCGGCUACUGAUUCGAUCUUGUCCUCGCACAGCAUUCAACUGUGUCAACUCUAAGGCUGGCACCGAAGUGCUGGAUGUGGUAAAACUCGUGCAGCAAACGAAGACAGAAAUUGCUACACUGCCCAGCUCCGAUAGAGUGAAGGCAUUGAGGGGCGCUUGACCAUGAAUAUAUGGGCUCGGUUAAUUGACGUGGAGGAGGGGGGCAGCUGGGCAGGGCCGCCAAGGUCGGCGAGCUGGGGCGGGUCCUUUGGCGCCCUGCGUUCUGGGUCAAGCCGGCUGUCGCCCCAAUUCAGCAUUGAAUGAGGUGGAUAUUUACUUAUGAGGAAGAGUUAAUGCUCCACUAGUUCCUGCCAUCUGCAGUGUCCCAGAGACAUUUGAGAAGAGGAAUUCCCAUGACACGUUCAAACAAACCGGAAACUGUCAUGGAGAGGGUGACCGCCUCCCCUCCUUCCUAUGCAAAUUCUCAUACCCCUUAUUCAUUCAUUCGUUCGUUCGUUCGUUCGUUCGUUAACUCACUGACAUACAUUUAUUUAUGAUUUCAUUUGCAGCAGUUCAUCUCCACCUGCUCCGACACCGAUUAAGGAGCCCUGCCUACAGUUUUCCCCUGGGUAAUGGAUGAUUCUACUUCCCUGACAAGUGGACCAGUAAAAUUCUGUUUUUUAUUCGAUAGUUCUACUAAUGCUAUUCAUCGCUUUCCCAUCUGUGGGCGAGAGCGCACUAGUUCAAAAGUCAGACCCCAACUUGAGAUUCCGCUUGCUCUCAACAAUCCCACUUCGACACAGUUUUAAACAGCAUCCCAGACUCUUCUUUUGCCCUUCGUCUUUAAAUACCCGCUAUAUUUGUAAGGCGAAUCAAGAGUUUAUGUUGCCUAAGCGGUAGAUAAUCCUCGAGGUUGCGGCAUUAGAUGCAGCCAUGGAGAAAAUAAUUCCCGCUGCUGUAUGUUUUGUCCGUAUUUUUCUUCUUCUUCUUCUUCUUCUUCCUCUUGACGCGUCAAAAAGGGUUUUGCAGUAAGACUGAGCUUGAUGUGAAGACUGCUAAUGUCGAUACGGUGCGCACCUUUCAAGUCAUUCAAUUAUGAAUUGAGCGAUGGCGUGACGAAUGUACGCGACACCAAUCAAGUUCACUUGUACCGGGAGCUUUUUCGUCUCUAGGCUCCUCCACUCUCCCUCAGGCCUUCAUUCAUCACCCGAGCCGAUCUGUGAACCUACUAACUCCAUCACAAAAACAGGCAGUUAAUGAGACUGCAAGCAAGACGAGGUGAGCAUACCCUUCCCGCCGCGGCCAACGCUGCCACGCCCUUAAUCUCCCACGAUCCUCCGCCCCACCCCCAAUGCAACAACACCGCAACGCCCUUGAAAUGAGCUGCCACAGCAAUCCUCCCGGAAACAUCUGGAAAUGUCUUCAGUGUGAAAGGGGAGGAGGCUGUCCACUGUUGAGGACCAAUGGGAUCACGAAGAGGCUCCACGUCAUUACGCGGUAAGCCGACGUACGAUGCAGUGUGAACGGGAUCCUCAGAUUUAGCAAAGUCGUGGCGGGGGGUCGACCUACCUCAUCUUAUCCCCACCCACCGAAUCGGCGGGCGAACAGAAAACCACAUCCUCAUCCAUUGUACCCACUCGAGACCCCCUCCAACGUGCAGACCCAGAACGAGAAAGGACGAGUCCGUCUGUCAGUGCGCGCGAGCGUUCGUCCGUCCAUUGUUCCGUCCGUCCGUCCGUUCACCACCACCACCGAUUUGUUAGGUCUGCCAAUAAGUUCCACAACCAAGCUCAUCGUCAUCAUCAUAUGAAGUCAAAUGAAGAAGCUUGAGUUUAUGGCAAUUUAUCAUUGUGGGUGUUUCUCAUAGAACAAGGGCUUGACUCCAUUCCCAAGACGUGUGCCUCAUUUUAAGGCCGUGAGGGAAAGUCAAAAUCAGGUCCCAGCCACACACCCCACCCACCCAAUUUGCUUACUCUUUAGAUUUCUGCACUAAAUUUAUUGUAAUUGUUUGUUGUUUCAAGUAUUGUUGGGUUAAUGGAAUUGAGUUAUGAGUUGGAGGAUUGAAAUGCUUUGUGUAGUGAUUCUAAGAUUUGUUGAUAAUCCAACGGGGUUGUAAUGUGAAUUGUUGGAAUGAAAUAUACAUAAUGUCUAUACAGUAAAAUGUUGUACUUAUUGAUAAAAUAUUUAUUAAAUUUUUUAUAUAAGAGCAUCUUUUAUAAAUCUCAAAUAUGAAAUUUCACUUAAAAUAAAAUUCAUAUCAAUUGAAAAUUCUUAAAAUAUCAAAGUUAAUACUUCUAAUACAUUUUUUAAAAUAUAUUAAGAAAUCAUAAAUCACUUUAUACAAAAUCAAUGAAAUUAAUAUUUUAUAUAUAUUAGUUUUAUCUGAAUUAAAGAAGAUAAAUUACUUUUUUAGGUAAAUUUUACUCUAAAAUAUUAAAAAUUACUUAAAAUAGUCAUUAAUAUGAUAAUUUUUUGUUAUAUUAAUUUAAGACCAAGGUCUAUAUAUAUAUAUAUAUAUAUAUAUAUAUACACUACAAAUUAUACACAAAUAUUAUACAAAUUGUAACUACUCUAUGUCAACUUGUUUUAAAAAUUGUGGCCUCACUUAUUAAAAAGCAACAAUAUCAUAUUCCUAUUUUAAUAUUAAAAUUUUAUAACGCAAAAGAAAUAUGUGUAUGUUUAUAUAUGUAUAUAUAUAUAUAUAUAUAUAUAUAUAUAUUUCAUUCCAACCUAUGCAUUAAUUCAGGCAAACAAUUUUGGACAUCCUCGUUUUUUGUGGGACACUCUUUUGGUAGAUGUAACAAUAUUUUUUUGUAAACCAUGUGGUGGAUCGAUUUAAGAUUUAGGUAAAUAAAUUUUAUAUUCCUCUCUCUAGUUAUAUUAAAUAACAACAGUCAACUCCACACCAGCAACAAUUCUUCCUUUCUACUUUGUUCUCCACCUGUCUUUUCUUUCACUCUUCUCUUGAUUUGCUUUGCCGCAGACUGCUUUGUUGCUUGCUUUUGUUUGUGUGUGUGUCUCGCUAGGUCUGUCUGUUUGUCUGUUUGCAAAAAUAGAUAGACAGAGACAGAUGUGUGGAACUACAUUUUGCAAGGACAGACAGAAAGUGGGCGUGAGAGUGAACUUAGGGUGUAAAUCUCGGUGGGAUACCACAACUCAAACUGGCGCUCACAGAAAACACUAAAUUACACUAGAACAAUAAUAAAAUAAAUUAGGGCAAACAUAUCACUGUAAACAUGCAAUUAUGAAUAAUAUGAUUACGAUCCAACACGAUUUUGUGUUCUUCCUUAUUAUUUUCUCUUUGUUUCAGAAGAUGUGAUUGUAGAUAUAACUGCGGUGGGGUUUUGGCGGAAACUAACAGAAGUAAGAAGCAAUGGCAUUCUGUGUGUCGAAUCUGAAUGUUGUAUCUUCAUAUUGCUAGAAGUGGGCUGUUUCGACGCAGGAUUCGGAGUAACAUUGCAGUACCUGAAGCUCGCACGGCGUUGUGAUGCGGCGAUGUCAUCCACUUCUUAGGGUUUGGAAGCCCUGCAACUGGUAGGCAAGAUAAAAGCAGAGCAAAUGCAUCGUCAGGGAUCCUCUGAAACCUACGUGAUCUUUGACCAGAGUGUGCAUGCAACAUCUGCAGACAAGCUUUCAUUGGCCCCCGCUGACGAUUGCUUGCGCAGAGCUUUCAUUCUCGAAAUGUCAGGAAAAUUUGCGGAGCUGAGUAUAAUGAUGGUGCAAACCAGGAUGAAUUUAUAUGAUCCACAGGCUCCGAGACUUGGAGCCUUGAAUCCCUAACCAGGCUGCUGCUUCUGUACUCAUUCAGGUACCCACUUGGACGCUGCACCACGAAUCGCAUGCCACACUUAACUGUGGUGGGUAAGUGUGAUAUUUAAGAACGUGUGUUACGCACAAGCUUUUUGGCCUCUGUUGCCAGGGGCUUGUAUUCAUCGGGAAACCUGAAACUCCUGACUCAAUCCUGAUAAAUCUGGAAGGGGUUACAGCAGCUGAGGACAUUGGUCAGCAAUGGCUGAAUGCACCGCUUCUUUUCUUCGACGAUAACAUGGAUUAGUGCUGGAGUCAAGCAUAGAUUCCAGCCGCUUGGAUUGGUAAGUCAGAAGAUCGCUCGUGUGUUGUCACUCCGGUGAGCGAAGUUGCGAUGAGCGUAAAUUGGUGCCGAUCAUGAUGCGCUGCCAAGGCCAUGCGGGGGUCCGAGCACAGUUUUGCGUCAUUUGCUGCAGCUGGGCUGAGAAUUUCAGAAAGGGCAUCUAAGCAGAGCCGAUGCAGCACGAGCUCCGCGGCAUCGGACCAAAGAAAGGGAUAUCGUCCUCCACUUCGCUUUCCUCCGGCAAACUUACAGGAGGAUCUCUGUGGCUGAUUCAAGACCCCCAGUCGAGACGUGCAUCAUUUGCUGAUCUUACUGAAGGAAAUCGCUACUUCUGUGUUGCAUCCUGCAGAUGCAAUCUUCUGCAGCAAAGAAGCAAGUUCAAUUCUACGGGGUUGAAGCGUCGGUGAGUAUGACAGAUCUCAAAGGGUUGUAGCUUUGGACGCGGCCAUGUCACUCCGCCCGAUCGCGUCGGUGGCCUCCACCGCCGAACCCCCGUGUCUGCCUGUCCAUGGCCGCUUCGGCGAUGACCUGUUCGUCCACCUCGGAGGGGGCACCGAGCCACCGACACACCGACAUACCGACAGAAUGUGGAACUCAUGAAUCCCUGCAUUAAUUUGAUAGUGGAUUUCUAUAUUAGGGAGGAAAUGUCACCAAGACUUGUUGUUUGCAGAUGGCAUUGUUUACCAAAAUCAUGUAGUUUGAGACAAACAUUUCAAGGAUGAUUCAUGUAUACAUACAUACAUACAUACAUACAUACAAUGAAACAUACAUUCAUUAAGGAUUAUAUGAGGAGUUUCACAUGUUUUCAGAAAUGUGUGCAGAAAAGAAUUGGAAGGAAGGCUAGUAAGCAAACAAGAAAAAUUGUUAUUUGAGUAAAACUUCCAGGUGAAGGCAACCCAUACAUAUUUUCAACUACAUGGCACACAAUCUCGUCUAAAAAGAUAAUUGAAGGUUUUACUUGUAGUAUUUUUUUUGGUUUAUUGAUAUGGAUUACACAAGCAGAUAUUUACUCUUGAAACCAUUUUCAUAAUUGGUUUUGAGUCAAACUACUAUAUUCUUGCUGAUAUUGAAUAGUAAUGUAUAUAAAAUCACUUAAAGUUGGUGGUUGGUUAAGCUUGAUUUCACUUGCAAUCUUAGUUUGAAUUUCAGGGAUUUGAUUACAGCACAAAGAAAUGUAAUCCUUGACCUGUAAACCACCACAAAGCUGAUGGGAGAAAUAUCAUUGAUUGGCAUCGAAAUAAAAUUGUCAAAUUUUCAUAGUAUAUAGAGAAAUUGCAAACAUAAAAAUUAUAGAUAUUCACAUUCAAUGCUGAAAAGAUCCUAGCUUGUUAAAAGUAACAUCUCUACAAAUUUUUGUAGUAAUAAGCGGACAACUGCACAUUAUUUGCUACAAACAAAUAAAAACACAUUGUACCAGAAUAGAUAUUUUAUGUCAAAUACAUUUUUGCAUCAAGAAACUCAAGUAACAUCUUACUUGCAUGACAUUAAUUUAUAUAAUUGUAUAUAUAAUUUUCUACAAGCCGGUCCUGGAAACGGUGACCGUCUCCCAUGAGAUCAUCCCCAGAGGACUGGCGAUAACAAAUUUCCUUGACACCAAAGAAGCCCAUUUCUCGUACGCGUACUGGAGGAGUUGGAUGUAGACUGAGAGCGGAAGAGGUUAAUUCCGAGGGAAGUCAUGACCAAUGUUCUGUGCAAGUACUGAAGACUUCUCCACUGACGGACAAUCAAGAAGGGAAUGCAGUGCAAAGAAUGGUAUACUGACAGAUUCAGCCAGAAUAAUACGAGCGGGGCGACCCAAUCAGUGAUCUACAAUAUCACCCGGGGAGAUGUAGCUGGUCAAAAUCUUAUCCUCAAAAGCCUCAACUUACGAGGUCAGACUUCAUUCACUAGCCUCCUCUUGUAGAGAGUAUCCACACAACAGUAGAUAUAGGUGUGGAACAGACUUGGAACAGUUACAUCCGCUUGUGAAUUGUUUUAGUUGAUUGGUGGUUACCUGGUUUUACAAUGACUCAAUCCAUCAACUGGUGUGGAUCCCUUGAGAAGCAAAAUCAGCACUCAAGAUCAGGUAAGUUUCACAUGAAGUCCAGUGCGGGAAACCUUACUAUGUAACGAUCACCACCCAUCACUGUCCCGUGCUUGCUGGAAACAACAAAGAUGCAGCCACUCACCAAACGGAAUGAUGCAGAAAGCUAAUCUCGACCUACAUUGCUUGCUGAGAAGUUGCAGUUAUGCAAACCAUCCAAGGAAAUACAAAGGAGAAGGACUUGAGCCUACUGGGUAAUCCAUAACAGGAAUCAUUGAUUGAAGAAUUUUGGCGACAUUCAAUUCGAUAUUUGGAACUCUGCCAUCCCAUUUCAGAAAAUCGUAAGCUAAAAACUCAUGGUCUUUCAUAAAACCCAAACACCAUUAGACAAGUACUUGGGCAUUUUAAUUACAAAGAGAACAGACAAAUGCACUUGUCUUUCGAAGCGUUGAUGACCACAGGCAACAUGGUCUGGCGAGUGGCAACAUGGUCUGACAAGCAGUCAUACCAUACAAAUAAUGAAGGUUGCUAUACUUAUCCAUUACGUGUAGCACCCACCAGGUCGUCACAACCCAUUCACACCUUCAUGUUCGAAAGUCAAAUACAACCAACUUUCCGUCCACAGUUUGAAAUCUUGCAAGUUCACGAGGCUACAACUGGAUUCCCACGCUAGAUACAAGAUCAAACCUCACGCAAACCAGGUACAUAGAUACCUGCGGAACAAUGUGUUUUAGUGUCCAUUCGGGAUCAAACUCUUCUGCAAGGAGACCAAGGUUUGGCGGCUGCCUUCCGAAUAGAGUAAACCUGUGCAAAUUAAUUGUUAUUGAGGAUGAAUAAAAUAGUUUCAACGACACAUACAUGUGAUCUUAUAAGCUGGUAGACAACGUUGCCUACAAAAGUCACCAAUAUAUUUGCCAAGGUAAAGCUGCAGGAUCCUAUUACUUCGAAAGAAACAUAUUCCAUACAGCAAUGCUGUAAAAACUUGAUUAAAUGUUAAUGUCUCAACCUGAUCUUCAAGCCACUGCAUGCAAAUAGCUCCCAAUUUUUCGCCAGCGCCUAAUGGACUGGCCAAUAAGGAUACAUCCUCAAUUAUGGCUAGAAGGACGCACCAACGACGGUCCUCUGCUAGUUCAACAAUGUCUGGCAGAAGUGACUCAGACAGCAAGUCAAUGCCAAUUACCUGCGAACGAAAAGCCCAUACUUUAGACUUCUACUGCUCUUCCCAGUUGUCAGCGACCUUCAGUGUCGGAAUAGAGAACCACACUCAGGAAAACAAAGAAAGGUGAUAAAAUUCAGAAAGACAUAGUCAACCAGCCAAACAGAACGAAAGAAUCUGGAUAUGUGUCAUCAUGUCCUUAGCUGAUGGAAUCAAUCCCUUACUUGACUUCGUCUAGUUUGCCAAUCCUAUUGAGUCGCUCAUCCAAUAACUCAUCCUUCAGGAGAGUUAGAAAAAUGAGAAGCAAAGGGAACAGAGUAUCGGCAGUUGAAUGGUCAAGUUAAUUAGAACAGAAAAAAGCUAUCAGUGCGUAACAUUUCCAAAGAAGUGUUACUUUGAAAAACGUGAAUAUUAAUAAGAGAGUUCAUAUACGAGCAAAUUGAAACAGCCAGGCUAAAUAAGAAAUACCAAGGAAAAUUAUCUGACCUUUCCUAAUUAAGGAGCCACUCCCUCAAUAACCGAUACAAUUACAGCUCGUAAAUGUUGAGACGGACCAGUUGACAACUACUGAUAUAUCAUUCGCGAUGUGUGUGUAUCGAUCUAUCUAGCUAUCUCUCUCUCUCUCUCUCUCUCUCUCUCUCUCUCUCUAUAUAUAUAUAUAUAUCAACAGAACCGAAACAAAGCUUGUAAUCCGUGUGCAACUACAUUACGUAUUUCCCAACUCCAGACUGGGCAAGCAAUUUGAAAGUAAUGCACAGAAAAGAAAAUGAUAAUAGCAGAUAAUUGGCAGAAAAAAUAACCUACCUGUAAAAAGCUCACUAUGACGGGGAAAACAUUUCCAACACAAUCAAUCGGUUCCAGAAGUUUGCCUGAUGCAGCACAAUUCUCCACUACUAAGUGUCUCACUGAGUCAUGAUCUACAACCAAGAUUUCUCUACAUUAAUAGCUUUCCUGCUGUAUUCAACAGCAAUCUGUCCUCACCUAACAAGUGAACUGAAUACAAUUAUGAACGCAUAGCUGAUUGAUUCCCUACCGUAACCACUCGUCAUUCUCGAUGUUCAGCACCGGGCUAGCUUCUAUGAAGGGAACGAGAUCCUCUCGAAAAUGCAUAUGCACCAUAUUGCGUGAGAUCUCUAAAUGUCAUAAUAUCAAACUCCAAGUACAUGGCUUCAACAAGUGGCCCCACACUUUACCAUAUUCAACAAAGCUGACAGUCGCAGAGUGGGCAUGUCAUUCUGACAGCUGAUUGAAAAUCAAGCGCAGCUCAGCCCGAAGAAGAUCCGGGGCACUAGAAUAGACAAUAUGGAAAAUACCACAGGCCGACACUCUUACGGUGAACCAUUCACCAGCACCAAGUCUCUGUUGUCUUUCACAUGAAAAGUCAAACAAAAGCAGGAAAAGAAAACAAAUUUAAUUUCGAUUUAAAAACACUCCAGAAAAAACGACAAAUGCCAUAAAUUUCCCGCUUGCAGCAACCAGUCCUCAACCGAAUCGAUCUCGCUGGUUGCGAAACAUUUCACCAGCUACAUGAUGAGAUGGAAAGUUCAUCGACAAUAUCAUGACAGAAACACACUAUCAAAGCAGGAAACAUUGAAAUGCCUUCUAAGAUAUGAUUCCUCCAACAGAAUGACAAGAUCCUAGAACUUUCAUCAGAAAUCAAACGCAGGUAUUAAUUUUUUCUCCUCCAAGCGUUCCAAGCGGAGCCUACACGCUCCUACAAUUAAAAUUCUCGCAAAAACAUAGGGAGACACGACACAGAGAGACCGAUGAUGUCGACCGUAACAAAAGGGAUGAACCAUUCAACAACGUCGCGCUCCUUCAUUUGCACUCCAAUCUUACACAAGCUGGCCACGACCUUGUCCUGCACAACUGUCUCCACAAUGAUGCAAAGGCUUUCAAGCGGCGGUAGCAGGACGUACGCGAAAACAAUCUCGGCCACGAGCCCGAUGAAGGCCGCAGGCUCACAGGCCAUGGCCAACAAAACUUCGUCGUCGUCAUCAUUGAUCUCACUACAAAAACGAGAUAAGCUCCUGCCGCGUACGAUCCUCGCUGAGCGCAAGCGCGAUCGUGGAUAUGUGCCGGAUCGAGUUCAACCGCACCUGUGUAUCAUCGUUUUUUAAGCUUGUCAAUCAGAAUGCACCAUCACUGAAAUCGCCAUCCCUGCCACUCCUCCCCCCGGAUUUCCACCCGUAAUGUCGCCAUUGCUCAAUUCUUUCUUCGCAUCCUCUGGCCUGCGGCGACGAUGCGACGUUUUACUUAUUUGAAACAGCUUCACGGUAGAAUUCGACGCCGAACUGACUGGGCUGCUGUGCAUCGCAUUCACAACAACUCUCGUCUGUUCAUAAACAAGCUCCCUACUCUCGGCGCCCGAAAUGAGGAGGACCGGGGUGCGCAUCCUCUUGUCCCGGCCCGGCCCGGCCCGUUCCAUUCCCUUGUGAAUGUUUCCAUAUGACGGCAAAGGCAAGGAGGGAACUGACUUGGGGUUCGCUGACGUGGCUGUCUUUGUCCAGCGUGGCUUUUUCUGUUUCCCGCCCUGCCACCUCAUCCCUCAGGAGAUCCUGACCAGUCACGCUGCUUGUUUAGGUGUGUAGGAAUACGGGUAACCGUAUGUAUUUAUUUGUUCUCUCAAACCCAUCAGCGGGUUUAUAUACUGUUAUAAAUGUUGCAAGAUUUGAGGAUAUGAUAAAAAUUAAUUAAUUAAUUAAUAUCUUUAUAAUUCUCAAUAGUCUACGAAAUCGAAAAAUCGAUGUUUUGUAUAUGUAUGUUGGUUCUUGUAAAAUUUAUUCAAAACUGUAAGAUCAUAAAAGAAUUACACUUUUAAGAUGACAAAUUGUAUAGACCUUCGUGAAAUGUAUGUAUAUCUUAUCAAGAAUUAUCAAGGUUUUCAAUUUAUAUGUGUACACAUAUAUCCAUAUCCAUAUCAAUCAAGAAAAAUAAACAAUGAAAAAUCUUUGUUUUGAUGAUACAAAAAACUCAGUGCAUAUACUAUAGUAACUAUUGUAAUUUGAUUAGAUGAAAAUAUUUAAAUUGACUUUGAAAAGAUUUUUUAUUGAAUAGAAUAGAAAGUUGUAAAAUUUAUAUGAAAUAAGAUGAUUUUUAUUUUCUUGUUUUUUAAAAAAAAAUCGAAGUUUUAGUUAUAAAUAAACACAAGAAAAAAAUAUGAAAAAAAGAAAGGUUGAAAUAGUUUUGUUAUUUAUACAAGAAUGAAUGAUACAAAAUGUAUACAUAUAGUACGGUAGUACUUUUUGGUUUGCACGUCCUAAAAAUGAAGGAAAAAAUUUCUUAAAGUAAUUAAUUAUAUUUUAAAGUCAGUUACAUCUAUGGUCUCAAACAAUUAUAGAUUUAUAAAUUUAACAUUUUGGUGAAAACACAUUAACAAUAAAUGCAAAUCACUGGGACAAAAAGUUCAAACAAAAAAAUUAUAAAUGAACUCAUCAUUCAAUUGUAGAAGGAAUAUGGAAAACUGUAUGCUUGGAGAUAACCUCUAUUUAUAAAAAAAAAUUAUGUUACAACUUUAUAGCCUAAAAUGAGGACUUGAUUUAGUUUAGUUUUUUAAUUAUAAUCUCCUUCACGGUUAAACAUUUUUUUAAGGUAUAAAAAACUUAAAUAUAUUUAUCUAGUUAACCAACAUGAUGGUUUCACUUGCCACUGCAAUUGUUUGAUAACAUCACCGACUGAUUUGGGUUACAAGUUGCCAACCACAACUAAUGUGGUGCAAACCACCCACACACUACACAAACCUUCAAUGCUUAUCAGAGGGCAACUUAGUGUAUGCCUAGAUCAGUGAAACAAACUUGGUGAAAGCCAGAAUGUCGUUUCACAUUGCAUGUGUGAAAAGAAUUGUUUAAUGCAAGAUGCAAGGAAGAUCAGUGAAAUACUGGGACAUAAAAAAAAAAAAAAACAC